rnacentral:rRNA from 1 species
AAUUCGACGCAACGCGCAGAACCUUACCAGGGCUUGACAUGCGACUGCAGAGCGGUGAAAGCCGAAGUCCUUCGAGGGUGUCGCACAGGUGCUGCAUGGCUGUCGUCAGCUCGUGUCGUGAGAUGUUGGGUUAAGUCCCGCAACGAGCGCAACCCCCGUGGCCAGUUACGUGGGUGUCUGGCCAGACUGCCGGUAGCAAGCCGGAGGAAGGCGGGGAUGAUGUCAAGUCAGCAUGGCCCUUACGUCCUGGGCUACACGCACGCUACAAUGGGGCGGACAGAGGGUAGCCAAGCCGCGAGGUGGAGCGAAUCCCAAAAACCGCUUCUCAGUUCAGAUUGUGGGCUGCAACUCGCCCGCAUGAAGGCGGAGUCGCUAGUAACCGCAGGUCAGCAGUACUGCGGUGAAUACGUUCCCGGGCCUU